rnacentral:rRNA from 1 species
CAGCGAAAGGUGCUUGCACCUUUCAAGUGAGUGGCGAACGGGUGAGUAACACGUGGACAACCUGCCUCAAGGCUGGGGAUAACAUUUGGAAACAGAUGCUAAUACCGAAUAAAACUUAGUAUCGCAUGAUACCAGGUUAAAAGGCGCUACGGCGUCACCUAGAGAUGGGCCCGCGGUGCAUUAGCUAGUUGGUAGGGUAACGGCCUACCAAGGCAAUGAUGCAUAGCCGAGUUGAGAGACUGAUCGGCCACAUUGGGACUGAGACACGGCCCAAACUCCUACGGGAGGCAGCAGUAGGGAAUCUUCCACGAUGGACGCAAGUCUGAUGGAGCAACGCCGCGUGAGUGAAGAAGGGUUUCGACUCGUAAAACUCUGUUGUUGAAGAAGAACGUGCAUGAGAGUAACUGUUCAUGCAGUGACGGUAUUCAACCAGAAAGUCACGGCUAACUAC